GACCCAGUAGCACGCGGUGUGCGUCUUCUUUCUUUGCGAAGUCGGCACUGGCAAUUGCAACAGAUUCAGGAGAAGUCCCUGGUUCGACUCCAGGCUGGGUCA